UUUCCUACGGGGCGCAGCAGUGGGGGAUAUUGCACAAUGGGGGGAACCCUGAUGCAGCGACGCCGCGCGGGUGAAGAAGCGCCUCGGCGCGUAAAGCCCUGUCAGCAGGGAAGAAAAUGACGGUACCUGACUAAGAAGCCCCGGCUAACUACGUGCCAGCAGCCGCGGUAAUACGUAGGGGGCAAGCGUUAUCCGGAUUUACUGGGUGUAAAGGGAGCGUAGACGGUUAUGCAAGUCUGAAGUGAAAGCCCAAGGCUCAACCAUGGGACUGCUUUG
rnacentral:rRNA from 1 species